rnacentral:rRNA from 1 species
GUGCUUAACACAUGCAAGUCGAACGGAAAGGCCCUGCUUUUGUGGGGUGCUCGAGUGGCGAACGGGUGAGUAACACGUGAGUAACCUGCCCUUGACUUUGGGAUAACUUCAGGAAACUGGGGCUAAUACCGGAUAGGAGCUCCUGCUGCAUGGUGGGGGUUGGAAAGUUUCGGCGGUUGGGGAUGGACUCGCGGCUUAUCAGCUUGUUGGUGGGGUAGUGGCUUACCAAGGCUUUGACGGGUAGCCGGCCUGAGAGGGUGACCGGCCACAUUGGGACUGAGAUACGGCCCAGACUCCUACGGGAGGCAGCAGUGGGGAAUAUUGCACAAUGGGCGGAAGCCUGAUGCAGCAACGCCGCGUGCGGGAUGACGGCCUUCGGGUUGUAAACCGCUUUCGCCUGUGACGAAGCGUGAGUGACGGUAAUGGGUAAAGAAGCACCGGCUAACUACGUGCCAGCAGCCGCGGUGAUACGUAGGGUGCGAGCGUUGUCCGGAUUUAUUGGGCGUAAAGGGCUCGUAGGUGGUUGAUCGCGUCGGAAGUGUAAUCUUGGGGCUUAACCCUGAGCGUGCUUUCGAUACGGGUUGACUUGAGGAAGGUAGGGGAGAAUGGAAUUCCUGGUGGAGCGGUGGAAUGCGCAGAUAUCAGGAGGAACACCAGUGGCGAAGGCGGUUCUCUGGGCCUUUCCUGACGCUGAGGAGCGAAAGCGUGGGGAGCGAACAGGCUUAGAUACCCUGGUAGUCCACGCUGUAAACGGUGGGUACUAGGUGUGGGGUCCAUUCCACGGGUUCCGUGCCGUAGCUAACGCUUUAAGUACCCCGCCUGGGGAGUACGGCCGCAAGGCUAAAACUCAAAGGAAUUGACGGGGCCCCGCACAAGCGGCGGAGCAUGCGGAUUAAUUCGAUGCAACGCGUAGAACCUUACCUGGGUUUGACAUGGAUCGGGAGUGCUCAGAGAUGGGUGUGCCUCUUUUGGGGUCGGUUCACAGGUGGUGCAUGGCUGUCGUCAGCUCGUGUCGUGAGAUGUUGGGUUAAGUCCCGCAACGAGCGCAACCCUUGUUCACUGUUGCCAGCACGUUAUGGUGGGGACUCAGUGGAGACCGCCGGGGUCAACUCGGAGGAAGGUGGGGAUGACGUCAAGUCAUCAUGCCCCUUAUGUCCAGGGCUUCACGCAUGCUACAAUGGCUGGUACAGAGAGUGGCGAGCCUGUGAGGGUGAGCGAAUCUCGGAAAGCCGGUCUCAGUUCGGAUUGGGGUCUGCAACUCGACCUCAUGAAGUCGGAGUCGCUAGUAAUCGCAGAUCAGCAACGCUGCGGUGAAUACGUUCCCGGGGCUUGUACACACCGCCCGUCAAGUCAUGAAAGUUGGUAACACCCGAAGCCGGCGGCCUAACCGUUGUGGGGGAGCCGUCGAAGGUGGGACUGGUGAUUAGGACUAAGUCAUA